rnacentral:ribozyme from 1 species
GUCAAUGUUUGUAGCAAUACGGAUCCGAAGUCUCUUGUAGGAUAAUACAGAUUCUACGUACCCUACUGCGACUUAAUACGUUCACGGCGUACAGAACGGUAACAUAUAAUUAUGUGGUAUAGUCGUACGUA